rnacentral:rRNA from 1 species
UACAGAGGUCUCAAGCGUUGUUCGGAUUCAUUGGGCGUAAAGGGUGCGUAGGCGGCGCGGUAAGUCGGGUGUGAAAUCUCGGAGCUUAACUCCGAAACUGCAUUCGAUACUGCCGUGCUUGAGGACUGGAGAGGAGACUGGAAUUUACGGUGUAGCGGUGAAAUGCGUAGAUAUCGUAAGGAAGACCAGUGGCGAAGGCGGGUCUCUGGACAGUUCCUGGCGCUGAGGCACGAAGGCCAGGGGAGCAAACGGG